UGCACGUCUUUGGAAUGUUGGAGGAGACCGUAGAUCUCGGGGAAAGCCCACGCGAUCACGGGGAGAACGUACAAACUCCGUACGGACAGCACCCGUAGUCAGGAUCG